rnacentral:rRNA from 1 species
UACGAAGGGUGCAAGCGUUACUCGGAAUUACUGGGCGUAAAGCGUGCGUAGGUGGUUUGUUAAGUCUGUUGUGAAAGCCCCGGGCUCAACCUGGGAAUGGCAAUGGAUACUGGCAAGCUAGAGUGCGGUAGAGGGUAGUGGAAUUCCCGGUGUAGCGGUGAAAUGCGCAGAUAUCAGGAAGAACACCAAUGGCGAAAGCAGCUCUCUGGGACGGUACUGACGCUGAGACGCGAAAGCGUGGGGAGCGAACAGG